CAAAGUCCUUGUGCUUUGAACUAGUUAGAUAUAAAUACAGAGCUAGCUGGCAAAGGUCUGCUCAGAGGAAUGGGAGGCCCCAGAUAGUGGGAAGUACUCCCAGUAUUCUAAAUAGUAGACACUCCAAUAUAAUUAUUAAGCCCAGUGUCCUCUGGGGAGAGAUUAAAGGAUGGCAGAGUGAUGCAGACUUCUAAGGGAGGAAAUCUUUCUUUUUAAGGGGAAAAAUGAGAGAAGACUCUAGAGUGGAAAUUACGGAGAUAGCAAUCCCCAUGGUCAACAGAGAUGAGGAAGACAGAGGACCUGACUCACCUCUGUCACCUUUACAUCAGCUCGUGGUGCGUGCAAAGCUCUGCCACUGUACUGGUGGAAAUGACUGCACUGAGUGUAUGGCUGAGAGCUGCUUUGUGAUGUAAGGGACAUCUAGCACAGGUAAGACUGUAGCAUAAGUGGAACCAAAGGCCUCCCUGGCAAGCUGUGUAAAUGACUGGCAAGCAGGAACCGAGGUGUACUCAAUGUAAAGAAGCAUUAGCAAGUGAUUUUCAUGUGGUAGCUGUAGUAAACAGGAGCCAAGCUACAGUUCAGAGACCACAGUCAUUAAAGCAAUAUGAAACUGGUUUGUGUUGGCAUUUCUACAGUCUCUGCAUUGUGUAGCCUUUGUAGCUCACCUGCACGUGAAUUUUCUUAGCUUUUUAAAUAGCUUCAACCUCAAGAACUGUAGUCUGCAGCACCUGUUAGUUAUCAAAAGAGGGCAUGUGGCCAUAAACAUAAAACAAGAACUAAAUGUGGUUAUAAAGAAGCCAGACCAAUAAUAAUUAAUGAGAUAGUCUUAAUCGAAGCAGUAUUUAUUUCCUUUUGUAGGCAUGCACAUCUAAUGCACCAUCCAUCGCAGGGGUAUCUCCUUGAAAUGCUUUAUUCUGCAUCAUAGACUCUGGUAUUUUCUACAGAGUGAACACAAAAAUUGUCUUGUGAAAUCCUUUCCUCCAAAUUCCAGUUGCACAUCGCUCAGGUAGUGCCCUUAAGGUGGUAACCUUAAGGUGUGCAGGUCUCUGGUACCUGUCUCCUUUUCUUUUAGCUACAUGAUUCCUUUCUCACGCGGAAGCUGCCUGUGAUUCUUACAUCACCCGGUUACUUUGUCCUUUUCUUUUGCUCUUCUGAGCAAAGAAUGUUUUCUUUUCUCGGAUAUCUCUGACUUCUGUUUCCUCUGCACCUUCUGUUAGGCCCCUACCAGAAGCAAUAAGACUAACUGUUCUUAAUUCCCAGCUGGUUUAUAGGUCUUUUGCUUUGUCUUCUCAUGAAAACGCCUGCAUGCCAGCUGUAGCAACAGCUGAAAACAAGGAAAAACCAUCACUCUGUGACUGGCGAAUUUCUCUGUGCAUGGUGGACAAGUUCUGGUUGGGCUGCAAGCGAUCGGUG
ensembl:lncRNA